rnacentral:sRNA from 2 species
GCCGAAGUCAUUGGGGAGUAGCCAUCCUCUACCCCGAGGAGUUCGCGUCAACAUACUUGGUGGCCUCGUGCCCCAUGGCGCGAACGGCACAGCGCCCGGAGAGUGCGCUGCCCGCCCGGCGAGACCUUUGGCCAGCGACAUGCUUACCCGGGCCGGGCGAGCGGUGUGGCUGUGCC